rnacentral:rRNA from 1 species
AUGGCCAUAUCAUGUUGAAACAUUGGUUCCCAAAUGAUCAUCAAAAUUAAGCAAUGUUGAGCCUGGUCAGUACCUGGAUGAGUGACUACUUGGGAAUACCAGGUGCUGUAA